rnacentral:lncRNA from 1 species
AAAAAAAAAAAAAAAAAAAAAAAAAAAAAGGUAUGUAAAGAAGGAUAGCACCCUCGCACCAACCUUGAAAGUAAACAAGCGAAAUUCUACUCACACAUCCAACAAUUAAUAAUUCAUAUAAUAAAAUAUAUAUAUAUAUAUAUAUAUAUAUAUAUAUAUAUAUAUAUAUAUAUAUAUAUAUUUUGGGGAAAUGAGAUACUUAUAGGAGUUGUUGCUUUGUUGGUUCAAUUUCUUUUCUUUUUUUUUUUACUUACCGUGGGCUGGUUUUGGAAGGUAAUUAAUUUAGUUCAAAUGUUAUGUAAAAAAAAUUUCAUGUUUUACCCGUUUUCAUAAAAAUUCAUCCUUACACCUAUAAGCAAUUACAAAAAUAGAAGCUAUAAAUUGAAAUGCGACGUGAACUGCAUUUGUGAUGUUCAAAUAUACCACCAUCACUGCAACCACUAUCACCGGCCCCUCGAUCGCGAUUACCAUUAAGCCCAAAAACUCUUAAAUUUACCACAAUCAUAAAAUCACAAAAUAAAAAAAGAAUCAAUUCUUUGUGGUUUACAAUAAGAAUGUAUUGUAUUUUGUCACACAUUACUUUUUGGAGAUUUUCUUGUGCUUAGCCUAAGCCCACAUGAGCCCAAAAAUAUAAUAUAUUUUGUAAAAUCUGAUUCAACCUAAAAGCGGAUGUUUAUUAGAUUUGAGUCUACACUCUCUUAUAAUUAUCGGAUGUGGGAUUGGUUGCAUGUGAACUCUUAGGCCACAUUUGUUUCACCGAAGUUGAAUUUUGGGUUGAAGUAAAUUUGGAUUGAAGUGGAGUUUGGUAAAAACUACUUCUUGCUCGCUAUUUGUAUCGUAGUUACGGAAGUAAAGUUUUAUUAGUUCUACUGUUUGUUUGGUAGAAAGUGUGUGAUUAAAACUAUAAUUUAUGUGUAAACAAUAAAUAAUUUAAUAAAUAAAAAUAAUAUAAUUAUAUAUUUAUAUAAUUAAAAUUUAAUUUAAAAUAACUAAAUUAUUAUUGUAUACAUAAAUUAUAGUAAUACAACAAUAAAAUUAUAAAAUAAAAAAAUAUUAGAACUAGGUUGGAAUACUAUUAAUAGCACCAAGCUAUUGGUGCUAUUAGUUUUUUAACCAUUGAAUUGAGAAAUGUGUGGUUAGGAUGAUGUGGGCCUCCUAGAGAUGAGUGAGUGGUUGGUUGAGUAGUAUAAUCUAACAGGUAAAAAUAAUCAAAGAGUUAAAUCUAACGAUGGAAAACUCGAUAGCAUCAAAUCCUUAGUACUAUCGAUAAUAUCCCAGCCGGACUCAAAAUAUUAAUACUUAAUUAAUCAAUUUUUAUCACAUUUUAAUUGUACAAACUAAAUAAAAAAAAUAUUAAAACCUAACUAAUCAAUUCUUAUUAUAUUCUAAAGGGAUAAUUUCAUAGAUGCCCUUCUAGGGACUUUUAAUUUCAUCAAUACCCUUCUAAAAUUGAUAAUAUCAUGAAUACCCUCCAAUAUAUAAAAAAUUUUCAUACAUACCCUCCACUAGUUAAAGUCCGUUAGAAAUGGGAUUAAAUUUUCAAAAUGCCAUUUUUACCCUUUAUCUCUUAUCAAUAGUAAAAUUACUAAUAGGUAUUUUAAGACAAUUUUAAUAAAUAUAAAUUUAACUAAUUUAAUAUACUAAAUAUAAAACUAAAUUAUUAAUAUAUACAUUAAUUAUUAAAAAUAUAUAAAAAAUGUAUUUUAUAUAUAAUAUGUUUUUAUAUAAUUUUGGUUUUGUUUUUGGUUUCGGAUUUCGGCUCAAGUUUAGUUUGGAUAUAGACUAAAACAAUAACUGAAUUUGAAUAUAAUGAGACUUUUUUUUUUUGCUUCUAUAACUGAAACUAUCCCUGCUCAGCAUCAAUUAAGAUCACCCAUUCAAAAUUGGGUUCAUAUAUAUCUAUAUCAAUUCACAUUCCUAAUCAGUAAUAGUAAAUUUAAAAUAAAUGAUAGAUUUAUUUUUUUUAUUUAAUCAAAAAUAAAUUAUAUAACUAUAUGCAUGCAUUUUUUCGUCGAUUGAAAAAAAAGAGAGAGUUUUGUUCAAAAGCUAAAAUAUAUAAUAUUUCAGUUUUUUAAUGCAUUUAAUAUAGAUAAAAUUAUCGUGAAUAAUUUUGGUUAAAAAAUUUUGCAAGUUUCCAAGAUUAAACAAAGAUAAAAAAAAAAUCCUCAACUUUUAUUUUUAUUUAAAUUUUUAUACAUAGUUAUUUAUUUGCUAAAAUAUAAAUAGAGCCACUAGAUUUUGUUAAAUCAUAAAAAAAAUGGACAAAAUCUCAUUUUCCGUACACUAAAAUUAGUCAAUUUUUAAAAAAAUUAAAAAUUAAUGGGAUGUCAACUAAAAUAUAAAAGUUGAGGGAGUUGUUUUAAAAUGACAUAUAGCUGAGGGAUCUCCAUGCAUUUUUACUUAUAGGAGUUGAGGGUAAACUAGUCAUAUUAAAAGUUAACCCAUCUUUAACCAUUUAAUAACUAUGGUAAAAUUAGAAUAACUAACAGUAGGGGUAUUGAUGUUAAUUUUUGAUGUUUACAGAGGUAUGUAUGAUAUUUUAAAUUUUAGAAGGGUAUAUAUGAUAUUUUAAAGUUUAGAAGGGGCAUCUAUGAAAUUGCCCCUAUUCUAAAUAUGCUAACUGAAUAAAAGAGUAAUUAGUACCAAAAUUAUAUAUAUGUAAAUAUAACUAUUUUUACCUAGUGUAUUAUUUUAUUAUUUUUUCUUCAUCUCUAUAUCUUCACCGUAAGUGACUUCGACUUACGAUAGGCCGAAGACAUUUAGGUCAUUUCAGGUUAACUUGAGUUUCAACCGUAACUUUUGUACGGUAAACCAAAUAACUAAAGUGAUCGUUUAUGCCAAAAACGACUUUUUUCUUCUCCAAUUUCACCCCAUUUCCACCCAAAUAAUUUUACAUGCCCUUAACAUUACUUUCGAAUCAAUAUUAAGAAACUGACACCGACCGUCGCUAGCGUAAGCGGCAAAAGGGGUGGGUGGUUGGUACCUGAGACUCAAGUUCGAAUUCUAAUUGAUUCACAUUUUCAGCUCAAUUUAUUUCUAAAUGAAAUAAACGAAACAGGUAGCAUACUACCUUUCUCUCAUAUAUAUAUAUUAUUAAUGAUAUAUACUAUAUAUAUAUAUAUAUAUAGAGUUGAGCUAGAAUACUCUCGAUAGUAAACGGGGCGUUUACUAUCGAGAUUGUUUCGAUGAUAGAGCUUCCAAUUGACGAUCGUCCGUUAAAUAUGAUCUAAACCAUUUAAACUACUAGAAAUCAAAUUUCACGCACUUUCGAUAUUGUUUUUUAUCCAUCUAGUGAACAAAAAAUGAAUGGCUGAAAAUGAAUAUUCUUUAAAAAUGAUGAUAGGAGUCUUGUAAUCAAGAUCAAGAGUAUAGAUAUUGUUUUAAAUAGUUUAAAGAAUUUUCUAACAAAAAUUCAAUUGAUUUGGAUAUCUUUACACCGUUAAACGAGAAACGUCUCUUAUUCCACCAUUAAAAUUACAAAUUUUGAACCCUUUGAUCAUUAGCAAAUGAUGUCGAAAAGAUUUUGAAAUUUGAUUUCUAAACACUUCAAGUGGUAUAGAUCAUGUUCAACGAGGCGAUCGUCAAUUUUGAAUGUUAUCAUCGAAACAACUCGAUAGUAAACAGCCGUUUACUAUCGAGAGUAUUCUAGCUCACACUCGUAUAUAUAUACUAUAUACUAUAUAUAUAUAUAUAUAUAUAUAGUAGGGCUGUUGUGCUCUCAGGAGCACAAAGGCCUCCGUGCUCCUGAGCGUUUUCGAUGAUGGAAUUUUCGAAUCGACGAUCGGCUCCAUUAGACUUGAUCUAGCGCAUUUGAAAUUUCUAGAAAAUAAUUUUUGUGAUUUUUUUAUAUCAUUUACCUAGUGAUCGAAAGGAUUCAAAAUCCAUAAUUUUUAAUGGUUGAUAUCUGCUGUUUUCAAGUUUAACAGUGUAGAAGUAUUCAAAUCAUAUGAAAUUUUAAUACAAAAUUUUUUAUACUAUCUAUAACAAGAUCAAUAUUUCUGAUCGAAAAUUUUAGUGCUAUAUCACCACUUUUUAUAGGAUUUUUAUUUUCAGCCGUUAAAAUUAUUGAUUUUGAAUCCUUUCGAUUGCUAGGUAAAUGAUAUCGAAAAAUCGCAAAAAUUAUUUUUCAGAAACUUUAAAUACGCUAGAUCAAGUCUAACGGAGUCGAUCGUCGAUUCGAAAAUUUUAUCAUCGAAAAUGGCUCAGGAGCACGGAGGCCUUCGUGCUCCUGGGAGCACAACAGCCCUGCUCUAUAUAUAUAUAUAGAGAGAGAGAGAGAGAGAGAGAGAGCGAGAGAGAGCGAGAGAGAGAGAACUAGGCUAAUAUACUAUUAAUAGCACCAAGUCAUUGGUACUACCAAGUUUUUGGCCAUUGGAUUAAAAGAUGUGCGGUUAGGAUGAUGUGGACUCUCUAGGGUUGAGUGGGUGGUUGGUUGAAUAGUAUGAUCUAACGGGUGAAAAUGAUCAAAAGGGUAAAUCUAACGGCGGAAAACUUGGUAGCACCAAGUGCUUCGUGCUAUUAAUAGCAUAGUAACCGGACUCAUAUAUAUAUAUAUAUAUAUAUAUAUAUAUAUAUAUAUUUAUAUUAAGAAACUGACCUUGCAACCAACACCAUGAAAACAUGGCGUUUAACAAGGACCACCAAAUGGGUCCACACCACUUCACAAAGCUCGCUCCCUCUCUCUCUCUCUCUCUCUCUCUCUCUCAAGCUCAAAGUUUGUGUGUCAAGUAAAACACGUCUCCAUGUUUUAACUUGGCAACCUAAUAAUUAAGAGUUAAGUAAACCAAACAAAAGGAGCUCUAGUGUAGCUCCACUAACUACUCACAUACACAUGGAAAGGGCUAAUGUUGCUUAGGGCAAGAACGACAUCAUUUGAAUUAAGUGAUUGUUACUGAAAACAGAAGUUAAUAACGCGAAUUUGGUUCAACCCGUAUCACAUUAAAAUUAAUUUCAUGCAAGAGUGCGUAUAAACUGCUAUUGCAAGUUACAAGUUACAACUAAUUAAACACUGUCGGAUGGGGCGUCCCCAUCGCUCAAAUGAAUAUAAGACCAAAAGCAUCGAAGAGAGAGAGAGAGACGCGUGUUGAGUGCGACAAAGAAAUGGACCCAAUCGCACUCAAAUAUACACCUCAUAUAAAGAUGUACAUUUUACACUUCUCAAAUUUAAAAAUUUAUAAAAUUUUAAUGUACAUCACACGGAGAUUAUAUUUUAAUAUGAGAUGCAUGUGGAUAUUAUUGCUCAUAAAAAUAAAGUAUCCCAAUUUAUCCAUUAUACAAAUUAUAAAAAUUGAGAAAUUGGAUAACUGGAUUGGUGUGGUUGAUAACUUUUUGGCACAUUGCAACACAGUUCCACACUAAUACAUAUAUGUUUAUAUAUAAAUAAUCUUUUUGAUCCCCUUCCAAGGACUCAAAAACAAGCAAAACAAAAAUCAUCUCUAAAAAGAAAAAAAAAAUAGCCAUUUAAAAAAAAUCUAAUAUGUUUUUAAUAUUUAAAUAAAAAUCCUAGAAUGUUAGAUGCAACUUGGGAUCAGUACAGCACAUUGGCUAUAACAUGUAACCAGCUAGUAUAAACGUGUACUGUUUUACAGAUUGUUGUUAAUAUGUCACGUUAAUUUUAUUAUAUUUUUUUGGGUAUAGCAUAAGUUAAGAUAUUGUUGUAUCAUGCAUCUAAUAAAUAAAAAAUAAUUAAUUAUGAGAUGGAAAAAAAAAAAGAAAUAUCAAAUAAUAAUGCACCUAAUAAUAAUAAUAAUAAUAGUGUUUGUUUAAGCUUAAGUACGUACGGCCACAAGAACAAACGAAACCAGCUGUACGAUUCGUGUACUGUUAGCGGACAAUUUUUACGUGCACCCGGUCCAUAGACCGGACGCGUUCUCUGGUGCACAAGUGAUGUGGUAGGCUAAUUCCACUGAAAAGUAGCAGCUCUUUCCUUCUUUUUUUUUUUCUUUUUUGGGCCAAAAAGAUUCUGUUCUUGCAGUGGAAGGGAAGUAGCUCGGAUGACCUAGGAAUGCAUCGUAUGCUUAUAAAGCUGGCAUUUUUACCGAUUAUUAUUAAGCCGUAACCGACACGUGGCAGUCCCAACGAGCGGAAAUAGAUAAAUAAUAAAAACAACAACUCCAAAUUGGAAAAGUUUUUUUAAAAAAAAUUAAUGAAAUCUGUUUAUUUAUUCGCAAGAGGCAUCAAUCAAACAAUAGAACAAGUAAAUUACAUACAAAUCGCCUCCCAUAAUUACAGCACACAAAAGAACGUAAGAAUUUUCAAUGACAACAUGGGAAACAAAAUACGAGCCAAAUUACACGAAAAAAGAACACCUCCAUAUCCUUUUCCCCGUUUCGCAAUUACCCCCCUCAUGCUUCAAAUUAUAUGUUAAUAAUAUAAGUUCUAUCUCUCACUCAAAUUAAUUCACUGCGCACAUCUAUAUAUCUAGCUUGUAGUGCAAAGUCUAAUUUGUCUAAACCACACACACAUACCUAAAACACCCACCUCCUCCUCUGCAACACCUUUUCUAAAUUGUUAAUUCGUUAACAAAACAAAUAUAUAUAUUAUUUAUUUAUAUAUUAAUUAAUUCGUAGAAUUUUCUUAUUUAAGUAUAACAACUCAUAUAUAUAUAUAUAUAUUUAUUUAUUUAUAUCUAUUAUUAUAAAGCGAUUCAAAAUUCAGGGGGGGGCAUUGAGAAGCAGGUAAAAAGCGAUGGGGGGGGUUAUUAGUCUCGAAAUUUAGCCCAGCCCAGCCCAGCCCAGCCCAAAAUAAAUAAAAUAUUGAACAAAGAAUUUCCCUAGCACGACUGUCGAAGCACGGCGAUGGACGGCGGCGCGACUUUUGUAGAGCGUGGCGGCGACGGGCGACGGGCGGUGGAUGAGAUGGUUUGGUUUUUUCCCCUACCCGGCUACCCCUAAAUAUUUUUUCCUUUUUUUUUUUUGUUUUGGGACUUAAUUAAUUAAUUAAUUAAUCAAUAAAUUACCGGGAGUAGGCGGUGAGCGUGGUGGUAGUAGGGGUGGUGUGGGCCGGGGGGAGGAUAGUAGGAGGAGAAGAAGAAGAGGUCGUAGGGGGCCCAGAGGUGGUCGAGGGGGCAGGGGCGUCGGGCGUCGAGGCGGGCCCAGGGCUUGCCGCUGCCGCUCCAGUGGAGGAGGCUGACGGGGCCCGGGUGGAGGUCGCGGCAGCUGCGAACACCAGCAUCAGCGGCGGCAGCGACCCCAGAUCGUAGAUCCGCGCCCGCCGCUGCACGCGCAUCCACCGCUCGAUCCGCGCCGUCGCGCCCCCGCGCCGCCACCGCUCCAGGUCCAGCACCAUCACCCCCGUGUUGAAGUAGCACGGCCGCCGCCUCCGCCGGCCGAACGCGGCGGCGGCGACGAGGCGCGGGUCGGACCAGAAGCGCGGGGUGAAGUAGGCGGAGAAGUUGGCGGCGGCGCAGUACUCGGGGGCGCCGACGGUGCGGCCGCGCAGGUCGGUGGCCCACAGCUUGGCCACGUCGUCGACCACCACCAGGUCCGAGUCCAGGUAGAUGACGCGGCGCACGCACGGCUCCAGCAGCUCCGCCAGGUAGUUGCGCGCGUAGUUCAGCGGCUGCUCCAGCGCCUCCCGCACCGAGCUCGAGAUCAGGCCCCGCACCCGCGCCGGGUCGAAGUAGUAGCACCGGAACCGGAGCCCCGGGAACACGAACCCCACCGCGGGGGCCAGGCCCCGGUCGGAGAGCACGAAGUGGAAGAAGACGCGCCCGGGGCAGCGCGCGUGCCGGAGGACGGAGUGGACCGCCGCGAUCGACCCGCGGAGGUACGCCUCGUCGAGGGUCAGCGCGAUGUGGACGAGGGCCGCGUCGCAGGCCGACGCCGAGGCCGAGGCCGAGGCCGCGCCGCAUUCGGCGGCGUCGGGGAAGGGCGGGGCGCGGCGGAAGGGGAAGCGGACGGCCUCGGCCUCGGCCGGGGGGAAGGGCUCGAGGGAGGGGGAGAGCACCACGAUCACCACCGCCGCGGAGAAGAAGCCCGAGAGCCGCACCGCCCACGCCAUGGCCGCGCCGCGCCGGCGCCGGCGAGGGCGGCGCGCGGGCUCGGAGCCGAAGAGUCCCCGGCGCGGGAUGAGGGCCGAGAGGGAGAGCACGAUUAGGGCUCCCUUGACCCCCGCCAGCCCUAGCUGGAGAAACCCUAAUUAACAGAAGAANCCUCUCUCUCUCUCUCUCUCUCUCUCUUCUACCUCGUCCAUGGAACUAUUGAAGGGAGCGGUUGCAGUGGAAAUGACUAAUAUUAAUGAUUACAACAACAACAACAACAAUAAUAAUAAUAAUAAUAACAGCAACAUUUUCUUUUUCUCUAUUUCGUUUUCCUACAUAAGAAUUUUUGUUAAUUCAUUAAUUAAAUACUAAUCACCUAAUUAGUUAAGGUUGUGAGACAUAAAUUUUUAUGCAGAACGAAUUAAUCAAUCGUCUUAAAAAAAAAAAGAAAAAGGCCAAGGACGAAUCACAACCGCCCUUUUUUUAAAAAAAUGGACGAUCAUGCCCUUAACUUUUUUUUUUUUUUGAGAGAAGAAUAGCACGCUACCCGCUUUAUUCAAUCUUAACAUUUUUUAUAUAUAUUUUUAAAAACUAACAAGUUAUCUGUUUCAUUCUUUAUAUAAAACAAACUUAGUUACUAGCCAAAGACAAAAAAGACCCAAAGGGAGACAACAACGUUUAUAAAAGAACAAGAGAAAACGAACAAGUUAAAAGAAUCAAGCGUUUACGAAUGCCUUCUAAGACACGGAACGAAUUCAAACUUCUAUCUACGAAGAUGAUAUUAUUGUUGAAUUUGUCUUUGUUUCCUUUGCACAUGUAUAUUUUUCCACAGCUAUCGGACUCUUACCGAGCUGUGGGCUAUAGGCAAAGUGUCCUUCAGACGGAAAAGUGUGUAUAUAAAGUAAAUGCAGGAAGAUAAGAGGUGGCCACAUGUUUAUGGAUCGUUUUCGCAAAGAACACAGAACUAUCCUGCCCAUAUUCGCAUUCGCAUGUUGUCGGCUAGGGGUGCUAACGAGCCGAACACGAGCGAGCUUGGACCGAUUCGUAUUCAGAACACCAGCUGACUCGUUAAAGAAUCGAACCGAAAAAUUCAGCUCGUGUUCGAUUUGUUAAUAAACAAGCCGAUUACGAGCUGGCCAACGAACAAUAACUUAAAUAGAUUAGAUUAGAUAUAUAUAUAUAUGUAUAUAUAUAUAUAUAAUUAAAUUUGUAAAAUCUUACCUAUUUGAUAGUUGAAACUUUACAAAUAAAUGAGUCUUUUACAAUUUAUAAAUUCAGCUCGUCUUUUACCUAUUAGAUAGUUGAAACUUUACAAAUUAAAUUUAAAAACACAUCUAUUUCGUCACAGAUAAUGAUAAUGAAAGUUAUUAUUAGCCUUAUCUCCACAUUUAGUUAACAACUAAAUCAAGAAUUAGACAUUCAUGUAUCAAAAUCAAAUUAUAAUUGAAACUUGCGGUUUAUCGAAUUGGGGAUAAAAGAGGGUAAAGUGUCUAAUCACAUGCCAUUAUUUCCUUCAUAUAGAAUCCAAAUUAAGCAUUUAAAAUUAUAAAUAAAGGAAACAAAAUUAUGCUAUCUUUGUGAUUCCCUUCCAUUACCCCUGCUUUUGCCAUUUUCAUCUUCAUAUAUAGUCGAUUCAUGUUUCGAACACAAAUCUCUCUCCCUCUCUCUCUAAAACAAUUAUGAAGGGGGGGGAAAAAAGUUACAGUUGUAAUUUUGAGCGUGAAAUGUGCAUCAAGUUGCUAAGAUUAAGAACAUGAUAAGGUGUAUAAACAACUAAAUACAAGUAAGGUUAUUAUCUACAAUCCUUUUCCCCCAGAAAAGACCUAUUAUUAUCAACAAUCAUAUCAUCCAAGUCUCUGUUACUUUUAAUUAUUUUUGGACCAUGGACCCUAACAAAGUAUUGUGGCAAAUAGCUUUAAAACGUCUCUAUCCUUCUUAACUUGAUGCGAAAGCAACUACUUACUUUGGAGACUAAAAAUAUUUAGGCCCUAAUAGAGUUUUGAUUAAUGAUCUAAUGAUGAUGCAUUAUUAAUCAAAACCCACCAUUCCCUAGGUAAAUAUAAAAAUUAGUCAGAUUGUUCUAUAAGAAGAGGGCACCCUCUUGCGCAACAUAGUUGGAGCGUGACAAUAAUGUUCUGUUUGUGUAUAAAUAAUGCUUAAGUCAAUACAUAUGAUAACAUUUAUACAAGUCUAUUGAAUUAUGAAAGGAUUUUUUUUUUCUUUAGUUUUAAUCAUAACCUAUGCGUUCUUAGUGUUUACUGGGGAAAUAUAUAGUUUACUUUGUUGAAGACCCAUAUAUUGUCCUUCAACGCAUGCACAUAACGUAGUAAGAGAAUUUCUGAGUCCGUUUUAAGAAAACUGUGGUUUGGAGUGGAAUUUCUUUAGUGGUUACACACUAUAUAUGGGUUCAACUUAAACCCAAACCCGACAAAAUUCGACCGCAUAGUUGCUGAACCAUCUUUAACCUAUUUGGUUGGAAAUAAUCACUCUUAAUUCUGGGUUAUCCAAUGGGUCAUCUUGUCGGAUCGUUGGUACUAAUCAUUAAUUUCAAAAAUUCGAGCGGUUAGAAAUACGCAACCAAAUCACUUAAAGUUUAUAGACACAACGCUCAUGGAUCUCAAUUAUGACUCGGCCCAUCCGGCCUCAUGUCACUUCGAACAUGACUCGGCCUAUCCAGCUUCACGCCAUUUCAAAUGUGACUCAGCCUAACCUGGCCUCUUACCAUAGGGUAAGAUGUUGACACAUUUAAGCCAACACAUCUAACAAGUCACUUGAGAAUUCAACCCCAAUCCUAUUUUAACCCAAGAAAAGUUCAUGCAAAUUGGCUCAUAUAAUGCAAAUGAAUAAACAUGUUUAAGCUAAGCUUUUGACAAUAAACUACUGGAGGCCUAAUUUCCAAUAAGCAAGAUAUAUUUUUCAUUUUAUUUUUUUUAAAAAAAGAUUUUGGGCUCAAUCCAACAAUUGUCCUAGUGAUUUAAAGGGGUUGUUUUGGAGGCCCAACGGAGCACGGCCCAACUACCAGAUAAUAUUAAGUACGUGGGUUAAUGGGCCGAGCACGUACGGCCCAUGACAAGCUGUUGCCGCAGCCGAAGCUCACAUUCAUUUUUCACGUGAGCUGCGGUCGCCCAUAGUACGGGCACAGUCCUAGAGUAGGCACCAUCACCGUCCAACGCUCAACGGACGGUUCUGGAUCAGAUCUGGACCCCGCCAGCUACUUACUCCUAACACCUACCUGUAUCUGUCUCGUGUACCUCAUCCGACAGAGUCAGCGCAAUUUAAUGCGGCGCCCAUCUUGUCGCAUAUGCAGCCCAAAUCUACGGUCCUGAUUUGACGGUGCGGUAUUAUAAUAAAGUAGCUCCAUCUCUUCAGUGCCCCCGUGAGCAAGUGGCGGUGAGCGGAUCCGCUUUCUUAAAUGCACCCAAAACCCUUCGCGGCCUAGGAAAAUAACUGCGCGGACAUGGUCCACCACGUCAUCGUGGACCCACAAAAACAUUAUUUCUCGGUAACUAGUUUCGACCUCUAUUUAUGUAUAUCUUCUCGAAGAGUGAGUUUUUAGAUUUGUUAGAUUAAAAUUUAGAGAGGAAAAAAAAAAAAAAUGUGGAAGGAACCAUCGGUCCACCGAUGACGUGGUGAAAGGUGUCUAGGGAAUUAUUUGUCCCACUUUGGCGCGAACCUGCAAGCAAUCCCUCGCCCUAAAUGCGAAUGCGAUAACCACGCCAACCAUUUUUAUAUCACAACACGAAACUCGAAUCGAUCGAAGCGAAGAGGGAUUUCGAAAAAACAAAAAAAAAGGAAAAAUAAAGAGUGCUGUGGGAGGGGGAGGAGAUCGAGAUCGAGAUCGAUGGAGAUCGAGGAGAAGGAGACUUACCGGGGCGGGUUGAAGGGCUACUGGAGGCGGCGCGCGUACCACCGACUCGACGCGGCGGGGUCGGAUCUGCGGCGGCGGCGCCGCCGCGUGGAGCGGGCGGAGCUGGGCGGCGGAGAGCGGCGGCGGCGCCCCUUCUGGCGCGUGCGGAUCGCGCCGCGGCUGCGGUUCCUGCGGUCGGCGUCGCCGCGGCGGUGGCUGGCGAAGAUCCGGGACGCGUACGUGCGGAUGAUGCUGGGGUUCGCGUCCUCGGCGGCGAUCGGGCCGGCGGGGCUGGGCUACGGCUUCGGCUUCGGCUUCGCCGGCGACCCCACCGGCGCCGCGUUCGCGCCGCAGCGGCGGAAGGAGUACGACGAGAAGGUGCUCGUGGAGAUCGUCGCCGCCGCCACCGCCGGGGUCGGAGCUGGUGUCGGUGUUGCUGUUGGUGCCGGAGCCUUGGAGAUCGUUCCCGCCGCCACUGGAAGGUAGGGGAACAUUCCGGAAGGUUCCGUUCGUCGUAUUCGGUUUUCUAGCUUUUGUUCCGUAGAUGCUUUAACUUAAUUUUACUUAUGAAAAAAUGAAAAAGAAAAAACAAAAAACUCUGUAAUGUAAGUAAACGAAGCUAUUAUUAUAAUUAAUUUAUGCUAUGCUUAUAAAUAAAUUUUUUCAAAAAAAAAUUCAUAAUCGUCAAAGUAUCUGCAAGCAUAGACAUUCUUAAAUAAUGGAGUCGCUUAGUAAAAGCUCUCUUUUUUAUAUAUAUACACACAGUUUGAGGGAACAGUACCAUAUAUAUGCAAUAGUCUCCAUUAUUUUUAAAAAAUAAAUUUAUUUAAAUUAUAAAAUAAUUAGCUCAUGAUCUUUUUCCAAUAUGUAAAACUUUGCCUCUUUACUUCCAGUUCAGAGUCUCUGCAGAUUCUAAAUUCAGUGCAGUAUCUUAUCUUCUCUUCUUUUUUUUUUUCUGUUUUUUGAGAGAUAGAUAGUAGGCAACCGCUUCGUUUAUUUCAUUUAUAAAUAAACUUUAACCGCAAAUAUGAAUCAAUUAAGAUUCGAAUUUGGGUCUCGAAUACCAACCACCAAAUUCUUUAUCACUCGCUCUAGGGACAGUUGGUAGUAUCUUAUCAUUCUUACACUGAUAAUUUUUAUAUCCAAGUGUUAAAAAGUUUGGUUGUGGAUAUUCGAGUUGGUAAGUUCAAAUUCUAAUUGAUUUAUAUUUUUAACUAAAUUUAUUUUUAAAAAAUAACGAAAUGAAUAGUAUAUUAUAUUUUUCUCAGAAAAAAUAAAAUAUGCAGAUCGUUACCUUUCAUAUUUAAUAAUUUAGAUUUAUAUUUACAUUUAUAAGGAUCAGUCAAAACUAAUAUUAAACUAUACAAUAAAAUUUAAAAUUUAAAAACUUUUUUAUACUUUGUAUAGCAUAAAAUUUUUUAAUUGAAUAUAUUAUUUAUUUUUUAAAUGCAAUUUAUGCUAAUUGUGUUGUAAGCAUAUAUAUAUAUAUAGAGUGAGGCUACUAUGCUAUCGGAAGCACGGAGCCUUUCGUGCUUCCAGGUCGUUUUCGAUGUUGCGACUUUCGAAUUGUCGAUCGGCUCCGUUAAACUUGAUCUAGAGUAUUUGAAGUACCUAGAAAAUAAAUUUUAUUAUUUUUCGAUAUCAUUUGCCUAGUGAUCGAAUGUGCUCAAAAUCAAUAAAUUUUAAUGGUCGUAGUAAGCCGUUUGCAAGUUUAACGGUGUAGAAACAUCCAAAUCACGUGAAAUUUUGAUAGAAAAUUAUUUAUACUAUAUAAAACAAGAUCAAUAUCUUUGAUUUAAAAUUUUAAUAUCAUAUUAUCACAUUUUGUAAGAUUUUUAUUUUCAGCCGUUGAUUUUGAGCCCCUUCGUUCACUAGGCAAAUGAUAUCGUAAAAUCAUAAAAUUUAUUUUCUAGGUACUUCAAAUACUCUAGAUCAAGUUUAACGGAGCCGAUCGACGAUUCGAAAGUCGCAACAUCGAAAACGAGCUGGAAGCACGGAAGGCUCCGUGCUUCCGAUAGCAUAGUAGCCUCACUCUAUAUAUAUAUAUAUAUAUAUAUAUAUAUAGCAGGGUACUUCAUGUCAACUUUUGGAACCAAUAGUUAAAUAAGUAAUACUAUUUAUAUAUCUAUAAUAUAAUAUAGCUAUAAAAUUUACAUCCUAAUUAUUUCAUUCGUGAUGAUGUUGACCCCUACUCAUUAAUUUUACUCAAAGUUACGUAACCUUAUCAAUUCAAACAUAAAAUAUAUAAUAAUAUUUUUGAAAUAUUAUAAUUGGGUAGAGCCUACUAUUAUUACUACCUAUCUAGAUACGGUAUAUCUUUAUAUUUACGUAACAAAUUUGUUAUUAUGCCGUUCCUUUUGGAUUAACAGAGUGGUAGAAAUAUACAUAUUUUUGCUACUAAAUUGCUAAUUUUUGUAAGCACGAAAAUAAUAAACUAUCUCCCUAUGUGUUUUGAAAUUAUAAUAAUUUUAUUAUUUGAACAAUAACUGUUAUAUUUUUUAAUUUAAAUCUCAUAAUAAUAAUUUAAGCUAAAUAUUUAAAGCCAGAAUGUAAAAUGUCCAAAUAUUAUAAGGCUUAAUUUAGUAUUAAGCUCUACCCAACAUCGUUAAAUAAAAUGGAGUUAAGAAAAAAAAAUAUAAGGAUAUGCUUCUGUAUUUUUCGAUGGGAUCGCAGAAAAUAUAUCAUAACUGACCCAUUGUAAUAUGCAAAAUACAAUUGUAAUAUACGAAAUAGAAAAUAAACAGUAUUUUUCUUUUGUACUUUCUCAUCGCACGUAACGUAAUUUUCUCGACUGGCCCUUGCCUAGGCUGCAAAGAAUUUGAUAACUGAUAUUUCAAGUCAAGUUCAAAUUUUUUUUAUUAUUUUAUGCUUUAGUUAAAUUUAUUUUUAAAAAUAAUAAAUAAUAAAGUAGAUAGUAAACUAUUUUUUAAAAAAGAUUAAUAAAAAUAAAUAUUUUGUUUUCACAAGUGAUAACGGACUAGUGGUUGCUAUCAAGUUUUUAAGUCCGAAUCUUAAUCAAGUAAUAUUUUUAACUAAAUUUAUUUUAAAAAAAUAAAUAAAUAAAUAACAUACUAUUUUUUUCUUUAAAAAAAAAAAAAAGUGCGCGUUAGCUGUCGAGGUCUCUCUGAUAGCAACCCCACCAAGGGAACGGAUGCUGUCCCAGAUUCCAUAUGACUUGUCGAGCUCGACCUCAUCAGCAACGUGGGCCCCGCUACUAUAAUUAGAUACUAUCCGUGGGGCCCACGGCCGCGGAGGAAUUUUUAACCACCCAACACCUACCACGUCAUCCGUUCAUCGACCCAAUGAAAUUGUGACACGUACGGGUGAUGUUGCUCCUGGUUUAGUCCCGUGUUCCGAUCAUAGAUAAUUUGGAUUCGGCGAAAAUUCGGUAAUUAUAUAAUACGUAUAAAAUUUAUUUUUUAAUUUUAAAUUUGGUAAAAAUUUUAAUUUAAAAAAUGAAUUCGAUAUAAAAUAUAAAAUAUAUGAUAUAAAAUAUAAAAUAAUUUAUAUUUAAAAAUAAAAUUAUAAAUUUUUUAUUCAUAUUUUCAAUAAUUCGGUAAUAAUUUGCGAAUAAUUCGUGAAUUAUUCACGAAUAAUUCGGCUGGUCGAAAAAUUCGCGAAUAAUUCUCUUUCUUUUGAAAAAAUUUGUAAACGGACUGCUUAAUUCAGAUUUUCAAUAAUUCGCGAAUAAUUCGCGAAUUUACUAACUAGGGUCCCGACUCGGUCCCUCUCUAUGAACCCAACUACGACUCUAGAUGAGUCCCCCCCGCAAAAAAAAAAAAAAAAAAAAAAAAAAUNAAUAAAAUUAUAAAUUUUUUAUUCAUAUUUUCAAUAAUUCGGUAAUAAUUUGCGAAUAAUUCGUGAAUUAUUCACGAAUAAUUCGGCUGGUCGAAAAAAAAACAAAACAAAAUCCUUUAAAUUUUGUAAACAACAACAUUUUAUAGUUUUUCUUUUUUUUUCUCAUUUAGUUAGGUUUUGCACCUAGUCCUUUUUAUUUUUGAUAUUGUCAAAAUAGGUGUGUUAUAUUUAGCCAUAAUUUAAAUUACUUUGCUCUAGUAAUAGUAAAAUUUGUUAUAAAUAUAUUUACUCAUAAUUUAGAUCACUCUUGGAUCUGUUAAUGCGGUUCUACUGCUUAUGAUCAAUAGGUGAGAUCCUCAAUCAAACACUGAGGUUAAUUUGGAGUACCUGAGUGCUUUAAAAUUCCGUGCAUUCGCUAUCACUCUUUUAAGGAGUGUAGGCACUCCCUCUCUUUCUGUCUCUAUCUAAAAAUAAUCAAUGACAUAUUGAAUAAUACUAUUUAUGUAUAUUUUUUUAUUAAUCAUACUGUUGCGACUAAUAAAAUUUAUUUCAUCUUAGAAUGGAUGGAUGUACAUUUUACUAGUUAUGUCGAUAUAACUAAUAAAAUUCAUCCACCUUAAAAUGAGUGAAUAUACAUCAUACACUCUUUUCAAGAGUGUACAAGUAGAGUUUUCCUAAUAUAUUUAGUGGCUACGUGUGUCAAAUACUAAAUUACUUUAGCACAUGCCUACCAAAGCACUCCUGAGCUUGACCAAGACGUUAUGCUACCGUUUGGUUCGGGGUUAAGAAAAAAUUAGUUAUUCCAGAAAUAGGGUUAGGUUUAGGAUUAAGAUGGAGUUAGAGUAUUUUUGUGUUUGGUUGGGGGUUGGAAUUAGUCUAGAAUAGUGAAAAAUAGUGUUUGGUUCGAGUAGGUGGGAUAAGAAGGAUAGUGAGUUAUUAUGAAUAGAAAAUAGUGUUUGGUUGGGGAUAUAUAGAUCUUUUGUGUAGCUUUAUUACCAAGCUCUAGUUCUUGAAGAUAUCAUGUGGGUCGCAAAAAUAUUUUUCUCAUAUAUAUAAUACGCAAUAUUCAUGUCGACGCUGUCGAUUCAACACCCAAAUAAUGAAUUUCCAAAAAGACCAAUGUUCUCUUCUAUACCUAUAAUAUCUCAAUGAACUCACAAAUCAAAUCAAACCUUAAUUGGUCUUACACCUUUGAUCAUCCUUGAUUCCAGUUAAUUAAUUUCUUCUUCCACCCAACCCCAACGUAUUAUAUAUACAAAACAAACUGUUUGAGCACAUAUUUUAAGGAUUAUGUAAUAAGCAUCACAUGCUAAAACUGGUUAAAUUAAUGUAUGAUCCUUUGAUUCUCUCAUAUCUUUGCUAUAUUAUUAUUAUUUUUUUAAAACAAAAAAAGACCCAUUAGUUUCUUUGCUUAUAAGAUAUCGCAACUAUAUAUAUAUAGUUUGUGUUUGACCAUCUUUCCCCCCAACUUUAAAAAGUGCUACGAAAAGUGCACGAGAGAGAGAAUCUUCUUGUAGAAACUUCCACAAUAACUUUACAACAUGACGUAGCAAUUCUACCAAGAGCCAACAAAUUUUUCCUCAAAAUAAAUACACCGAAUCUGAACCAAAUCAAUUUGUUUUGCUCGGCUUAAUUGGGUGAAAUUGGCUCCUUUAGAUUUCAUAUUAUAGCUUAUAAAUCCGAAACAAUCCUAUGAGAGAUCAUAUUUGCUCAUAAAAAUCUCACUCGCUGGCUUUUUGAUGGUGCACCAGUAUGCAUCCCCACUACCGUGUAUGGUUAAUUAAUAUUUUCUGUGUUAGAGCAGAAGCUCUAAGCUGAAACUUCUUCAGCAGCGACAUCAUGACAGAUACCCUAUCUAGUAGCAUAUAAGGAAGGAAACGGGCGAUUAAGUUGUAUAUAUCUUCCCUUAGCCGUCAAUUGACCACCCACCCGAUCAUCAUCUCUUUCACACACAUUCUCUUUCUUUAUCAUCACCGUCAUCAUGAUUCAAAACCCUAAUUGAGGGUCCCCACCAUUUUUCUUUCUCCUCAUCUCCUUGAAGUGUUCCAACAAAGAGGAAUGGCCCCCACUCCUUCACAUGCCAAUACACACACAUACCAACGGCCAUCUUAUUACAUAGCUGGCUUGUAUGAUUCCAUCGACCCACUACUCCUCACAACCCCACACACUCCUUGGCGCACACACACACACGAACCCCUCUUCCAAUCUCAAAUCUCGGCCGUCCGUUCCUGCACUAAAUCCAAUCGUCCAUUCGCACGCAUACAUAUGCAAAGUGUGGUGCCACUGGAAUGAACAAACGUUUUCCGUAGGAAAUUAAUUAAGAUAAGUCGAUUUUAAUCUACACCAACUGGUAUAAAACUCGAUUAGGUCGAUUUGACGACCAAAAUUUAAUCCAAACUAAAUACUGAUAAAAUGAAAAGGAUAAGUUAGUCCAAACAGAAUCGUAAUAAAUUUAAUAAUAACAACGAGUUUUUAUCAUCCCACGCGAAUCACGAUGCACGUGCGCUUCAGUAAUAAUCUCGUGCUAGACGGCCGCCCGCCACACACACCGACCGUUUACACCCACCCUCUCCCUCUCUCUAUGUGCCCGUCCGCGCACGAAUCUCAACGCAGUGGCUACGCACGUGUCGAUGGUGUCACUGUGAAUCCCACCCAACACGUGCGAGCUGCGUCCGAAUCACGUCAAUGGCCCUCGUUGCGCCACGUCACCCCGAUCACCCGAGUGGUCAUUACAGUAUUUUUAUUAUUUUUUAUUUUAUCUUUACCGAGUAAUUAUAAACAGCGACAAUUAAGACGCACGUAAUAUAUUAUAUUAUAAUAAUAAUAAUAAUAAUAAUAAUAAUAGGAUUGCGAGUGGCUGUGUAGCUGUAGCAGCAAGCGUUACUCGCGGUACGAUUACAACAAAUCACCGACCACUUGUUAUAUCUAACGGCUCCCAAGCGACGCAGAAGAGACAGUGCGCUCACACUCACACCCAUCUCCCCCUCCGCACCGUCGAUCUCCGCGGCGACGGCCCUGAUCAAGGACGGGGUCACGUGCACAAUGUGCGCCUCGUGCGACAACCCGUGCCAACCCCUCCCCUCCCCUCCUCCUCCUCCGCCGACCACCGCCACGUGUCCCCCGCCGCCGUCGUCCGUGUACUACCCGGCGCCGCCGCCGCCGAACCCCUUCUUGCCCUACUUCCCGUUUUACUAUUAUAGCCCUCCCCCUCCCGGUAAUUACAUCUCCGCCACUCCCCCUUCCAUAAACAACCCCGUCUCCUCCUCUCCCCCGCUUCUACCCCUCCUCCUCCUCCUCUCCCCCCUCCUCUUCCUAUAACAUCCCAAAACCUCGGAGGGGUAUUUUGGGAAUUCGGAGGCUACCACCGAUCUCGCUCUGUAAAACUCCCUUUUUCUCAUCUCUUAAUUUCUCUUCUUUUUUUUUCUUUUUUUUUUUCUUUGUAAUUUUUAUGUUGGGCCUCUAGUGUUGUUGUGAUUGUAAUAAUAAUAGUAAUUAGUAAUAAUCACAGGCGGGGGGGAGGAAUGGAAAAUUAGGAUGAAAUGAAAUAAGGGCGAAUUGUUUAUGGUGGGGAUUAUUUCUAGUUUAUUAGUAAUUGUUAGCAAAGUGUAUAAUUAUUAUUAUUAUUAUUAUUAUUAUUAUUUUUAGAUGGUUAUAUAACUUGGAGAAUUUGGUGAGUUUGGUAACGCUGCAGGAUUUGAUAUCUUUAAUAAUAAAAUAAAUCCUUUUCGGUGGAUCUCCCAAUUACCUUUCCACUCAUGCUACUAGCUAGAUGGAGCUUAAAUUAUUGCUUCUGCUUUUGCAAAAAGCUUAUUUUCACUUCUAGAGCAGAGACAUGUUCUAGAGCUCGUGUAAAGUAAAUCAAGUACUAAAUCCAAUUUCAUACUACUUGCAUUAGAAUAUCUAUAUAUAUAUAUAUAGAAAAUAAUCUGUUUUAUAACUUUUAUAGAGAAAACUUCAAAUACUAUCCAGAAUUUUCUCACUUUAGUAUCUCGUGGUUUAAACUGUAUCAUUUUAUGGUUUCUUUUUUCUCUUUUCGUUAUCCUUUUCGUUAAUUUUUUCGUUAAUCAAUAAGAAAGUUAAAAUUAUAGGGUAUUAAAACAAAAUUUUGUAAACCAUGAGGUAGUAAAAUGAAUAUUUGAUAAACCACAGGGAGUAUCUGAAGUUUUUUUUCUAUAUAUUUUAACGGGGAGUCAACAGAAGGAAUAACAAAAAAAUUAACGAAAAGGAUAACGAAACGAGAAAAACGAAACUAUUUGGUACUAAAGUGAUACAUUUUAAAUCACAACAUACUAAAAUAAAAAUUCACGAAAUUAUAGGUGGUGGUAUUUGAAAAUUUUUUUUUUUUUCUUAAUGCCAGCAAAUCCUUUUGAGAUGCAGAGUGAGUAGAGGAAGCAGAUGAAGGGGAAUCGUACAACUCUCAUACAAAAUGUAGGAAUCAUUUGAAUAAAAACUCCCACAGGUACCCCUUUAUCAUUUGGUGCGUUGGUUUGUAUUAGUACUAAGCCACCUAUCCGUUUGGUUGGGGGUUAAGGGGUGGAAUAACCCCUUAACCCCCAUUGUAUUUCCAAACACUUUUAAAAAUGGGCGGGUUAGUUAAUCCCAUCUAAUCCCACCAAACUCCAACCAAACACUAUUUUCUAUUCAUAAUAACUCACUAUCCUUCUUAUCCCACAUACUCCAAUCAAACACUAUUUUUCAUUAUCCUGGACUAACUCCAAUCCCCAACCAAGCACAAAAGUACUCUAACUCCACCUUAACCCNAAAAAAAAAAAAAAAAAAAAAAAAAAAACCAUAUGGCACUUAAAUUAUACAUUUUAAGCUACAUAGUAUAACGGAAAGUUAACGGAGGGUAUAACGAAAAGAAAAAAAUGAAGCCAUAACAUACUAAAGUGAUACACUUUUAAUCAUAAUGUACUAAAAUGAGAAAGUGUUAAACGGCAGGACGGUAUUUGAUUUUUUUCCUAAUUUUUAUAUCGAAUGAGAUGAAAAAAAAAAAUUCUACUAGAUUUUUUUUUCUAAGAUUCGAAAGGCAAAAAAAAUAAUUUUUAAAACAUUUUCGGAAAACCAAACAACCGCUUAAUUAAAGUUUGUACCUAACAUCACUUAAAAAGAAUAUUAGAAGAUACUUGAUUACCUCUCCACAUUAACUAGGCUUGUUGUACGUCUAAGCUACGUGCCCAUGUGCAAUGGAAAGCUACAACUUGCCAUAGAUGAUGCUCAUGUUCCACACACUACAACAGAAGUAGGUUAUAGGGACACAUAUUUGAAACAUUUUUAAGUAAAUAUUUUAUUUAUGCUAAAACUUAAAAAAACAUCUACUUAUGCCUAAAUAUAAAGCCCAAUUCAAUCAAAAAUAAAAGAUUACUCUACUCAACCCAUCACACCCAGUCCAUUUGACCCGAUUACAAACAGAAAAAAAAAAAGAAAGAAAAAUCAAUUACCUUAUUUUCUUCUCUCUUCACUCAAUCCACUGAAAUUCUAAACGAAGAGCCUUUGCUGUCGUCCUCCUCCGCCACCGCAGCCAACGAGAUAGAGUUUCGGCGGUUGCUAAAUGCUUAAAUAAGUAUUGGUAAAUUAGCAGCACUCUUUUAGGUUAUAGCGACACUCUUUAACUGUCACUAUAUACCUAGCGACCCCACAUAUAGCAACACUUUUUAAAAGUGUCGGUAAUUUUAGCUAGCAACACUUUUUUGACAUGUACCUACAUUUAAAAGUAUUGCUAUAGAUCAUUUUUGUUGUAGUGACAUCCCAUGUGCACCAUACCUGCACUACAU